GCCUUGAUGGUGAAAUGGUAGACACAAUUGAUUCAAAAUUAAUCACUUCUUAUGAAGUAUGGAGGUUCGAGUCCUCUUCAAGGCA
rnacentral:tRNA from 1 species